UACCCUUCUGAUGUUGCAUAUUUAGCAUCU
rnacentral:piRNA from 1 species